UCGGAGGACCCGGCACCAUGGAGACUGUCGGCGGUACUCCUAGAAGGGCCCUUCGCCGGAAGGCGAGGCCGGCACCCCUCUCCGAGGGCCGCGGACGUCCCUAAGAGGCCUGCGCGCUCUCCGAGGAAGGCGGGCGUCUCUAUGGUUGAUUCUGCGCGUUCGCCGCCAUCUUGUACAGGGGACCUUGAACGAGGAGCCGCGGGGGCACUGCUUUGAGGCGGGGUUUGGAGGAGCGGCGGGUGGGCGGGCUUCUAGCAGACGGCAGGUGGCGUGAUUCUCCUGUGGGAGCCGGUGGAGAUUGGCCAGGGGGAACUGGCUCUCUCGCCAUCCUGCUAGAAUGGCCCCAUGUCAAUGUGGAAGCGGUACCGCCACACCCUUUCCUGCUGUGGGGAGGCCAGUGGGGAGCCACAAGGCACUUGUGUGGGAAAGGAUGCCAGGAAUGGAGACUGGCCACCACAGAGGCGAGCUUUGCAGAAAACACCUCCAUCUGGUUCUCUACUCUGCACGUGGUACAGUGGUGGAUAGGAAAUUAUGAAGAGAUGGUUUCUGGAUCUCAGCACGAAGAGAUGGUGCCUGGCCAUGAGGAAUCUUCAUGUGCACUGGUUGGACAAUAAAUACACAAGCAGCUAUUGUGUACUGCUUGGCGAUGGACCCACGACCAAAUCAGAGCAAUGAAGUACAAUGGGACUUUGGCUGGGAAUACAGAAAGAAAACUACUUGGCAUUUUUUCCUCCACAAAUCUCAAACUGGGAACAUACAGGAUUGAAGCACUGGUGGCCAUCUUGCCCACAUGAGAAGAGAAUAUUCAGAAGAGCAAAGUCAGGAGGUAAAGAUAAAACCAAGUCCCAAUAGAUUGUUUGAGUCCCUGGGUCAGAUUACGCUUAAGCCAGUACUAUGCCUAAGUCCCUGGUCUUCUCAGUUACAAGAGAUGACCUCCACCCCCCCCCCCUUUUAAGUCAUUUUGAGUUGAAUAUUCUGUCACUUAGUGCAACUGAAAGAGUCCUGAUACAAGGACCAUGAAGACUUGGUCUUUUGUAUGUAGAGUGAAAAUUCUCUUGGGCUGUAUGCAGCCUGCCUCUUCCCUGAAUCUCUGGAGCCGGCUUUCAGCCAGUGGUUCUCAGUCAGGAAUGGUUUUGUCCCCAGGAACAUUGGGCAACGUCCAGAGGUGGGUUUGAUUGUCAAAGUGAGGGGGAAGGGGAAGGAAGGGAUGCUACCAGCUUCUUGUGGCUGGAGGGUACAUCCUAAACAUCCUACAAUGCACAGGGCAGCCCCCACAACAAAGAAGCAUCCAGCCCCAAGUGUCAUCAGUGCUCAAGUUGAGAAGCCCCGCUAACCCCAUGCAGAGUUCAGACACUCUGAAGGGACUCCCCAGUCCAAACAUACUCGGGAAAGUGAGCUCCCAGAAAGAGCUGUGUUCUCACCAGGGAAGGCCUCACCCUGAGACCCUCCAGGGCUCGUUAGCUCCAGGCGAAGUGACAGCAACUUGUUCAUGAUUAAGCUCUUUGGGAAACUGAUCCAAAGAGGGCAGCCAUUGCCUGGUGGGGGUUAAGACUGCUUCUUGGCACCCAGGAGAGAGAAAUGGGUGGCCUGUGACAGAUUUUAUUUAAGGCCUAGCGUCUUUUAAAGAGUGUUAGGAGCCCUCUCUCCAACAGACUGAAAAAUGAGACUUGUUUAGGUCUGAAAUACCGCUGUUAUCCUUAGCCUGCAGGGUAAAUGCUUUUUUACUGAAAUAUAGAGAACUGGGGAUCUCUCCUCUCUGAAUCCUCUGUGCUGGGGAAGGGGGGCUUUUCCAGAAGCCCUGAUUGUGGAAUGCCUUUGCUUCCAGGCUUACAUCCCCACUUGCAUUGCAGCCCACGCCUCUGCUCAGUGGGGUCCUUUCUAAGAGCUUCCUAGUGGGUGUCUGAUCAGCAGACCAAUGCUCUGAAGACCCCCGGACUCUUCACAGACCCCCAGCUGCUGCCUGGUCCGGGUGUCUCUCUCCAGGGCUCACCCUUCUUUACAAGCCUGCCUCCUAUAAAGGGACAGAGCCACCCACCCUUGCUGCAAGGACAGUGAGAGAGGGGGGCUCAGAGGCAACUUUAUUCCCCCCACCUCCGCCAGUAAUAACAAAUAAGACCCUUCAAGCACUGAUCAAAUCACAGCUCCAACAACCCUGGGAAUUUAGAUAUUUUUUUAGAGGAACUUUCCCCCCAGAUGUUCAGCCUGGCUUUGCCCAGACCCCUCCCCCACUUAGUUGACUGCACAAAGCUUUCGAAAAACAGCUUUUGUUUCCAGGCGGAGCUGUAUCCUCCCAGGAACCUUUCCUCCAGCACGCAGCCUGCAGACCUCAUGCCUUGCCUCCCCCUCCAGGGUGAAGUCAGGCCAACACAGGGUGAAGAAUUCGGAGGGUGUGGGUGUUUGGCUGGGGACAAGGAGUCCCUUCUUUUUUUUUUUUCUUGGUGUCACUUCCAGACAGAUAAGAAGGGGAAAAAAAGCAGUAAACAUUCUUCACUUAUGGACAAAAGUGGAGAUGGAAUUUUCUCCAGGACCCUCUCUGUGGGUCAGGGCUCUGCGGUUGGGGGUGGAGGGUAGGGAACGGAAGACCCAACUUCCCUCGAGAAAGUUUGAGUUCAGUGAAACCAAUCCCUCGAAUGUGGGUGUAAUCAAAAUGUCACUCCAUUUUGGCCUCUCCCUGGUCCACGUGAACUGUUCAGCAAGGGAGGCACGGCCCCUCUGUUCAGGCUCAGGUAAGGUCAUUCCACAAUCCAUUUAGAGACUAAAAGCACUUGGCUGGCUCAGUCAGUGGAGAGUGCUUAUCUCAGGGUGGUGACACCUUAUCUUGUGAGUUCCAGCCCCACGUAGGGUGUAGAGGUUACUUAGAAAAUAAAAUCUUAAAACAAAAAAACUCAUCUCGUCAUAGAUAUGACACUUGCCUCCCUUCAGAGAAAAACAUCUUCCUCCUCCUGCUCUAAGGUCUGUAGUCUGGACUGCUGGCCUUCAGGGACUGGUCUGUGGCAGAAUUUUGUCUGUUUUCUCACCUGACUGCCUCUCCUUCCUUGCUGAUGGCUUCCAAGGUCUAAGUGGGAGGGAUUGUUGGGGGAAGAAGGAGAACAGAGGAAAAGGGCAAUUCUUAUCUGACUGCAGAUUUGCCAGCCCUGUGGGCCCAGCAGAUGGUAAAAGCUGUUGGCUGGGGCAUCUCCCAGAUUCUUCAGGGGUUCCCAUCUCUGAGGCUCUCUCCUGAGGGUCCCGAUCUGCAUCUCCCUUACAGGUAAACCACUUGUGACUCCGUCUUCAGCCCCCUGGGGAGUCCAGCAUCCCCCUCCAACUUCUCCCUGCUGAGAUCCCUUUGCCCCUUUAGGAGGUGCUAUGGGGCUUAAAAUGGCCCCAUGCUGGACCUCUUCCCCCACAGCCUGCAUCUGGUCCCUGGAAAGCACUCACAGGGCCCCUGCCCCAAUCCCAGUACAAUGCAUCCUGUUGGCACAGACCCGUGGGGGCCCAUAGCUCUGAAGGGCUUUGUGGGAGCCCCCAUCAUGAGGCUUGAGGUGAAGGUGGUAGGGCCCCCACCUUGUUGAGGGUGGAACUCACAGGAUAGCCUUACUCUUUGGGAAGGUUUCUAUUUCCAAACCCUGCUGUUCUCUAUACUCUGGCCCUUUUCAUAUCCUUGAUAGGCUGAGGGGCCCGAGUGCUGUGCAGCUGGGUCUCCAUUGUUUCCUUUGUAAAUACUGCAUAAGGCGUGUGUCUGCUGCUCCGUCUGCUAUCUGACAUUGCAGUAGCCAGCCUCUGAGAUGGCCCCCAAUUGUCCUCACCUCCUGAUUUUCUCACCUUGUGUGGGCUCCUCCCUCCUGAACAGGGCCGACCCUUGUAACCAUUUGCUAUGACAAACACGAUGGUAUGUGACUUCCGAGGCUAGGUCGUUGUGUGGGCUUCAUUGUGUAUCCUAUGAGGAUACGUUGAAGCCUUAACCCCCCAGUACCUGUGAAUGUGACCUUAGUUGGGAAGAGUCUUCACAGGUAUAGUCAAGGGCAUAAUGGAUUAGGACAGGCCCUAAAUCCAAUGACUUAUAGGAAGAGAGACACAGAGCAGACGGACACAGGGAAGAGGCCAUGUGAGGACAGAGGAAGAAUUUGGAGUUAUGCCAAGGCUACAAGCCAAGGAACACCUGGGGCCACCAGAAACUGGAAGAGACAAGAAAGGAUUCUCCCCUAGAUCCUUUGGUGGGAAGACUAGAACUAGGAUCCAGACUCCCCACUUCUGGUCUUGGAUUGUGUUUCCUGCCGACACCUUGACCUCAGCUUCUGGCUUCCAGAAUCGUGAGAGAGUGGAUAUCUGUUGUGCUAAGCCACCCUGUUUGUGUUACUUUGUUACAACAGCCCUAAGAACGUAAUACAGUCAUAAAAGACAUUGUGAUUUCUUCCUUGAUCUCUCUUGAAUCACUCAUCCCAAGGGAAGCCAGUUGCCAGGUCACGAGGUUACUCAAGCAGACCUCCGGAGAGGUCCGCAGGGCAAGGAACCAAGGCCUCCCGUCCACAGCCAGCACCAACUUGCCACCACGCAAGUGAGAGGCCUUAGAACCAGGUCCUACAGCCUCAGCCAGGCCUUCAGAUGACUGCAACCUAGCUGACAUUUGCUGACGUUUGCUACUUCUCAAGAAACGUGGAGCCAGAACAUUAAGCCAUUCCCUAGUCCCUGGCUCACAGAAACUGUGAGGUGUUAAGCGUUUAUUAUUAUAUGAGCUGCGGAUCAUUGAAGUAAUCUGUUAUGCAGCAAUAGAUAACUAACACUGAUAUCUAUAUAUUGGGGCUUCGGUAUAACCUCAAACAGGAAGAGGUGCUCUGUGGAAUCCUCAUACAUCACUUGGAACGGUCAGGGGCCCCAGUGCCAUUCUCUUCAGGGACAUUUCCAGCAACGGGCUCCCAGGCCAUCUGUGGUUAGGUGUCCCAGUUACUCAUUUAUCAGUGAGCACCUUCCAUGCACUAGGCACUGUGUUAGGGGCUGGGGCUAUAGGUGUGAACAGUCUGUUCACGGCCAGCUGCCAUGAUGGCCGUACCUCUGCUGGUAGACCGGUAUGGGCAAGAAAGACUGCACUCAUCUGCAGAGCCAGAGGGAAGAGGGGACAUGGAGGCCUUAAGAGGGGAAGCCUUCAGCAGUAAGAUCCUUCGAAGACAGGAAGAGUACUAAGUUCAAGGGGCCACAGAGUGGUGGGAGGUAGAGCUGGAGCUGGCAUCUCGACUCCCCACUUGGGGUCUUGGAGUUGUGUUUCUUAAACAGCACGGAGGCUGGUUCGUGGCACCAGGGUCUCUGCAGAUCCUCGGAGGCAGAGACUCAAAUCCUGCCGGGGACACUGUUCUUUGGAUAAUGGUGUCUCUGUGGAAAGAUGGGAGCCCAAAGUCCCAGGAUCUUGUUUCUGCUCUGCCAACUUGGCUAAGUCCCUCCCUUUGGGGAUCCUUUGAACCAUGACACAUCGCCACUCCCUCUGAAAAGCCUAAGGGUGAGAAGGCUGGCCCUUCCCAGUCCUAGCCCUCCUUACUGCUAUUUUCUAGAGAGAUUUAGUCAGUUUUUGCCACCUACAGAAACCUUCCAGGCUGGUCCCUCCCAAGGUCAACUUGCAUACCUUGCAGAUAAGGAUAAACACCAUUUCUGUAGCAGCUACUCAACAGCAAGUGAUUCCCCUAAUCUUCACAGCACCCUCUAAGGCAAGGACUUAUGACCCACAGUUGGCAGUUGGGGAUAAUGUCCCACUGGCCUCUCACUACCCCAGAGGGUGACUAAGAGGCAUUCAGUCUGAGGAUUAAAGCCAGGACCCUAGGAACUGGGACUUUUUCCAGCCUCGAGGGUUUACCGUGGUGGGUAGACACAGAGCAGUGAGGUUGCACAGAAUGGUGGUUAAAGAGAAGGAGUCUAGGGGAGCCUGGGUGGCUCAGUCGGUUGGGCAUCCGACUUCAGCUCAGGUCAUGAUCUCACGGUCUGUGGGUUCGAGCCCCGCAUCGGGCUCUUUGCUGACAGCUUGGAGCCUGGAGCCUGCUUCAGAUUCUGUGUCUCCCUCUCUCUCUGCCCCUCCCCCGCUCAGAGUCUGUCUCUCUCUGUCUCUCAAUAAUAGAUAAAUGUUAAAAAAAUAAAUUAAAAAAAAGAAGGAGUCUAAGGCCAGACUGCCCAGUUUGCAACCUAGCUUCCUCUUAUGCUCCUAGCUGCUGAUUCCCCAUCUGAAAGACAGGGAUAAGAGCUCGUACCUCCUUGGGUUGUUGGGAUGGUUAGAUGCGAUAAUGCGUGAAUUCCAUGGCAAGAGUAAGCAGCCCACGACGUUUUUCUUCCUUUGAUAUUAUUAUUGAUGUGACUGUCCCCCCUCCCACCCCCCCAUGGCCAUGAGACUCUUCUAGCAGGGCGAUAUUCGAAAAGGGACGAGUUUAAGUGAAACAGAUAUAAAGCUGGAGGCUGAUGGAAAUUUGUGGCUGGAAGGCUGUUUUCUGCUUUUUGGAGGGAUUCUUUUCCAGCUCCAAGACAGCUCCCUGUGUAAGGUGAUGAGUGUGAUUAACUGCGAUCGGCUCCUCUCCACCUAAGGAGGAAAGCUGGACGUCACCUGUGGCUUCCAUCCAGGUGAGUGCAGUUACCCAUCAUGUCCACAGGAUGUCGCUAACAAUCACACUUUGACUACCUGCAGCCACACCAAGCUGUUCAGGGCUGGGAACUCAACAGCAGACUCCCGUUCAGGGAAAAGACGUUACGAGGGGCUGAGCGAUCUUCGGCAACACCCUUUGAACCCUUCUUGACACCGCAACACACUGGUCAGCAGGAGAGAGGGAAGACAGCCUCGACCACUGUGCAUUUGGACUGAGGCAUCACAUCAUCGGGGCGGUCGAGGGGUGCAGCCUUCACACCUCCCCUUGGUCUACCUGGAGCAGAAAAAUAUACUAGGACAUCUUUUCAGGCCAGCAGAUAAGUAUAUUUAAUUUUCAUGGAUGUUAUGGGCUCUGCGGUAUUAAACUAGUGGUUGGGACUUGCCCCCAUCAUUCUGUCUUUUGUCAGCAGCGAAAAUGACCUGGGUGCCUGCACUGGGCUUGGGACUGGACAUCGGUCCUUUGGCGGCUGGGGAAGGUUAAAGUCUAGCAAGGCACAGAGCUGUUGCAGAAUAAGGACAUGCCUUCCCAACAGAACCCUGAUGAUCUUGACCCCUUUGGCCCCUGACACAGGAGAAUACCAGAGGAUGAGGCGGGGACGAACAGAGGGCAAGGCCACAUGGAGAGAGAGAAAGGUCACCAAGGGGUCUCCAUUACAGGCGGUCUUGAGCCCAGUAUGAUUUUCUCCUACAAUUGAAUCUACUCCCUGGAUGGCCUCCAGUGUUCAAGCUGAUGACAAUCGCCUGUCUUUGCAAUUGAUUUCCUGGAAGCUGCUGGCCGGCCAGCAGCCACAUGAUGGAUAUGUGCUGGGGGACUGGUGCGGCCGAGCGGGGCAUAGGAGCUGUAAGCGACCCCCCCCCCCACACACACACACAGACACACAUCAUGGCAGGGUCUGUCAAAUGUAGGACGCCUGCACUUCUGCCCACUCACUCCACCUUGAGGUAGCAACGCCCAGAGAACUGUUCACACAUGUGCACCGAGAGGCAUGGGCAAGGUUGCUGGCUACAGAAUUGUUUGCGUGGAAAAAAAUUGGAGCUGCCUUAUCUGUUCAUGCGGGAUGGGAGGAGCUGCCACAUUCUGAAUGUGAAGGGCAUCCCUUGGGAUUGUGCAGAGGCACUAUUUACCAUAAAAUCCUUUUGACUCCUGCUUCCCAGAGUUGGGCGGGCAACGGGGACCCUGAGUGAGGGUGUGAGUGGAAAGGGUAGGAUUGAAUCGGCUGUGUUACAUCCAUUCAGGCAAUAUUACACAGACGCUUUUAAAAAACAACCAACAAGGAUGCCCCGCGUAUGUUGACAUGAGAAGAUGUCCAGGAUAUACUGUUAUGGGGAGAAAAUUGCAUAGCGAUAUGGUCAACAGGAGAGUAUUUGUGUAAAAGCAAAAAAACCCCAAAGAUCCUGGCACCCUGCACAUGCGUGCAUGGAUGUACCUGCACGUGUGUGUAAAUGCUUAGUAAAAGCCUGUGAUGACACACAGCAAACUGCUAAUACAGGUCACUGCCAGGGAAAGCAGUGAUAAUUGAUGAGAGAUGGGAAUAAAAGGAACUUUUCACUUUUUUCUUUCUUUA